UACAGAGGUCCCAAGCGUUGUUCGGAUUCACUGGGCGUAAAGGGUGCGUAGGUGGUGAGGUAAGUCGGAUGUGAAAUCUCGGAGCUUAACUCCGAAAUGGCAUUGGAAACUACCUCGCUAGAGGAUCGGAGGGGAGACUGGAAUUCUCGGUGUAGCAGUGAAAUGCGUAGAUAUCGAGAGGAACACCAGUGGCGAAGGCGGCAUCCUGGACCAUUACUGACGCUGAAUCGCGAAAGCUAGGGGAGCAAACGGG
rnacentral:rRNA from 1 species